AUGCUCGGGUGUCUGAUGAUACCCAACAGGGGGUUUCAGCCGCCAUUUCUUCAUCGCCUCACAACCGCAGAUCUACAGGAAAGUUGGAAACUGCCAUCCACAGUAAAAUUUCCUGCUCCGAGUUCAGGGAAGGUUACUUUGGAGACAGUACACAAGAAUGGGUAUGGAGACAUGCAAGCUGACUACCACAUCGACUCUGAAGAAUGCAUCAACAUAACUACUGGUUGGAAAAAAUUUGUCUCCCAGAAUGGCUUUGAGGUCGGAGAAGUGGCCAUGCCAUUUUUCUACAAAGAAGAAGACUCCCUGAAGUUCACAAUAUUUGCACUGUAG
rnacentral:rRNA from 1 species